rnacentral:rRNA from 1 species
UACGUAGGGGCCGAGCGUUGUCCGGAGUUAUUGGGCGUAAAGCGCGCGCAGGCGGCCUCGCGCGCCCGACGUGAAAGCCCCCGGCUUAACCGGGGAGGGUCGUUGGGGACGGCGGGGCUUGAGGGCGGGAGAGGUCGGUCGAAUUCCCGGUGUAGUGGUGAAAUGCGUAGAGAUCGGGAGGAACACCUGUGGCGAAGGCGGCCGACUGGGCCGACCCUGACGCUGAGGCGCGAAGGCGUGGGGAGCGAACGGG